UUCAAGAUUUCAUUUCUUUAAUAUAAAUAUCAAACCCCCUAAAACCCAAAACAGUUUCCUACUAUUGUCAUAUUUCCUCCGUCUUACUCAUCCGGUGUCUAAUUUGCAGUUAGUUCAGUUAUACAGUUGUGAAAGUUAAUUGUGAAACAGAUACAGAGACACGAAGAUGUCAAGCAUUCCGGAUGAUUGUGAACUAGAAGAGAUGGACUUACAGCAGAUUGAGAGAGGAUUGCAAAAGAGAGAAGAACAGAGACAAGGAGAAGAGAGAAGCUCUUGUUGUUGACUUUAGAUGUAGCCAUUUUUUGGAUCUCAACCGGUGUGUGUUUCGGCUAGUGGGGUGUUUUAUAGAGAAAUGCGGUAGCUGGAGGGAUCAGGAAUUUGAUUUAUUCAUUUCCAUAUUUAUUACUUGGGGCCAGAAAAACGUGCACCCCUCUGAUGAGUCCAUGACUCACGAGCAUCGGGGGCUUGUGAUUUACCAAGUUUGGAAAAUUGGACUUUUAUGGUUCGAGUUCGAGAAAGCAUGAGCUAAGCUAAUACAAAUUCAAAUAGGACUUUUUAUUUUUCUUCAAAGUAAACAAGGAACCUUUUCAUUAAUGGAAAUUCAAGGUUACAAUGA